GUUGGGAGGAAGGUACAAUUGUUAAAGCAACUGCCAUGUUAUCAGCAUGGAGUUCAACAAUAAUCAUUUUGUCCGGGAAACAAGGUCCUCUAGUUGCUCUAGCAGCAGUAAUUCAAGGGUGGUGUGUAAUUAGGUUGAUGACGUUGGAACGAGCAAAAAAUGACUAUAACGACAGUUCAACUUCAUAUUCUUCUCCGGUGGCAAAAUGGAGUCUUUUAGCUGUGUGUCUGUUUUUCUGCACUGGACAUUGGUGUGCCUUUGAUGGCCUCCGCUAUGCUUCCGCAUUCGUUGGGUUUGAUGAAUUCAACCUUAUUCGUCAAGCAGCCCUGCUUACCAUAGAUACAUUUGGUUUCUCCCACAUUCUUCCAGUAAUGGGACUUCCACUUAUUGUUGCUUGCCGACGACAUCCAGAAGUCCAGGCUGAGAAAAGGAAACCACUGUUUUUUCUCCAGUUAUGCCAGGUGUAUUUGAUGUACGGACUUACUAUGGCUAUAUCUAUGACAUUUACAAUUAUAUGUGUUACUAUUCAAAGGCGACACUUGAUGGUAUGGGGUUUAUUUGCUCCAAAGUUCGUCUUUGAUGCUGUGGGUCUUCUUCUUACAGACCUCUUCAUAUGCCUUGCAUCACUGUACUAUUU
rnacentral:misc_RNA from 1 species